rnacentral:rRNA from 1 species
GCGGCUUGUUGCGUCAGCUGUGAAAACCCGCAGCUCAGCUGUGGGCUUGCAGCUGAUACGGGCAGGCUUGAGUCCGGUAGGGGAGACUGGAAUUCCUGGUGUAGCGGUGAAAUGCGCAGAUAUCAGGAGGAACACCGGUGGCGAAGGCGGGUCUCUGGGCCGAUACUGACGCUGAGGAGCGAAAGCGUGGGGAGCGAACAGGAUUAGAUACCCUGGUAGUCCACGCUGUAAACGUUGGGCGCUAGGUGUGGGGGGCCUCUCCGGCUCUCUGUGCCGCAGCUAACGCAUUAAGCGCCCCGCCUGGGGAGUACGGCCGCAAGGCUGAAACUCAAAGGAAUUGACGGGGGCCCGCACAAGCGGCGGAGCAUGCGGAUUAAUUCGAUGCAACGCGAAGAACCUUACCUGGGUUUGACAUGGGCGCUAAAACCGCAGAGAUGUGGUGUCCUUCGGGGGCGUUCACAGGUGGUGCAUGGCUGUCGUCAGCUCGUGUCGUGAGAUGUUGGGUUAAGUCCCGCAACGAGCGCAACCCUUGUUCGAUGUUGCCAGCGG